rnacentral:rRNA from 1 species
UACGAAGGGGGCUAGCGUUGCUCGGAAUUAUGCGUGGGCGUAAAGCGCACGUAGGCGGCUCUUUAAGUCGGGGGUGAAAAUCCUGGAGCUCAACUCCAGAACUAGCCUUCGAUACUGGGAAGCUCGAGUCCGGGAGAAGGUGAGUGGAACUGCGAGUGUAAGAGGUGAAAUUCGUAGAUAUUCGCAAGAACACCAGUGGCGAAGGCGGCUCACUG